rnacentral:pre_miRNA from 1 species
CGGGGGAGGCCGGAUCCUGGGCUGUGUCCGGGUGCCCUGUGCUCUAGGGCCUGCGCUGUUGGAUUCGCGCUCCCGCCCCGCAGCCCCCU